rnacentral:rRNA from 1 species
GGUGAAAGGCUUGCUGCCUGAAGAAGAGCUUGCGUCUGAUUAGCUAGUUGGUGGGGUAAGAGCCUACCAAGGCGACGAUCAGUAGCUGGUCUGAGAGGAUGAUCAGCCACACUGGGACUGAGACACGGCCCAGACUCCUACGGGAGGCAGCAGUGGGGAAUUUUCCGCAAUGGGCGAAAGCCUGACGGAGCAAUACCGCGUGAGGGAGGAAGGCUCUUGGGUUGUAAACCUCUUUUCUCAGGGAAGAACAAARUGACGGUACCUGAGGAAUAAGCAUCGGCUAACUCCGUGCCAGCAGCCGCGGUAAUACGGAGGAUGCAAGCGUUAUCCGGAAUGAUUGGGCGUAAAGGGUCCGCAGGUGGCAUUGUAAGUCUGCUGUUAAAGAGUUUGGCUCAACCAAAUAAAAGCAGUGGAAACUACAAAGCUAGAGUGUGGUCGGGGCAGAGGGAAUUCCUGGUGUAGCGGUGAAAUGCGUAGAUAUCAGGAAGAACACCGGUGG